CAGCAGCCGCGGGAAUACGUAGGGUGCGAGCGUUAAUCGGAAUUACUGGGCGUAAAGCGUGCGCAGGCGGUUGUGUAAGACAGGUGUGAAAUCCCCGGGCUUAACCUGGGAACUGCGCUUGUGACUGCACGGCUAGAGUAUGGCAGAGGGGGGUGGAAUUCCACGUGUAGCAGUGAAACGCGUAGAGAUGUGGAGGAACACCGAUGGCGAAGGCAGCCCCCUGGGCCAAUACUGACGCUCAUGCACGAAAGCGUGGGGAGCAAACAGGAUUAGAUACCCGGGUAGUCCCUGUCUCUUAUAC
rnacentral:rRNA from 1 species